rnacentral:rRNA from 1 species
GACAGAGGGUGCAAGCGUUGUUCGGAUUUACUGGGCGUAAAGCGUGUGUAGGCGGCUUCGCAUGUUGGAUGUGAAAUCCCACGGCUCAACCGUGGACGUGCAUCCAAAACUGCGUCGCUAGAGUCUCGGAGAGGAAGGUGGAAUGCUUGGUGUAGAGGUGAAAUUCGUAGAUAUCAAGCAGAACACCUGCGGCGAAGGCGGCCUUCUGGACGAUGACUGACGCUGAGACACGAAAGCGUGGGGAGCAAACAGG